GGAGAGGUGGCUGAGUGGUUUAAAGCGCUAGAUUGCUAAUCUAGUAUAUGAAUGCUUCGUAUCGAGAGUUCAAAUCUCUUCUUCUCCU
rnacentral:tRNA from 1 species